GACAGAGGGGGCGAGCGUUGUCCGGAGUCACUGGGCGUAAAGCGCGCGCAGGCGGCAACCUUAGUGUCGUGUGAAAGCCCCCGGCUCAACCGGGGGAGGCCAUGGCAAACUGGGUCGCUCGAGCUGCGGAGAGGCCCCUCGAAUUGCCGGUGUAGCGGUGAAAUGCGUAGAGAUCGGCAGGAAGACCAAGGGGUAAGCAAGGGGGCGGGCCGCAGGAUGACGCUGAGGCGCGACAGCGUGGGGAGCAAACCGG
rnacentral:rRNA from 1 species